AGAGUUUGAUCAUGGCUCAGAACGUACGCUGGCGGCACGCCUAACACAUGCAAGUCGAACGAAGUAGCAAUACUUAGUGGCAGACGGGUGAGUAACAUGUAGGUAUCUGCCCUUUGGCCUGGAAUAACACGAGGAAACUUGUGCUAAUACCGGAUAAGUCUUUACGGAGAAAGCUUUAUGCACCAUUGGAUGAGCCUGCACUUGAUUAGUUUGUUGGUGGGGUAAUGGCCUACCAAGACUGUGAUCAAUAGCUGAUUUGAGAGGAUGAUCAGCCACAUUGGGACUGAGACACGGCCCAAACUCCUACGGGAGGCAGCAGUGGGGAAUCUUGCACAAUGGAGGAAACUCUGAUGCAGCGAUGCCGCGUGAGUGAAGAAGGCCCUUGGGUUGUAAAGCUCUUUCGUCGGGGAAGAAAAUGACUGUACCCGAAUAAGAAGGUCCGGCUAACUUCGUGCCAGCAGCCGCGGUAAUACGAAGGGACCUAGCGUAGUUCGGAAUUACUGGGCUUAAAGAGUUCGUAGGUGGUUGAAAAAGUUAGUGGUGAAAUCCCAGAGCUUAACUCUGGAACUGCCAUUAAAACUUUUCAGCUAGAGUGUGAUAGAGGAAAGCAGAAUUUCUAGUGUAGAGGUGAAAUUCGUAGAUAUUAGAAAGAAUACCAAUUGCGAAGGCAGCUUUCUGGAUCAUUACUGACACUGAGGAACGAAAGCAUGGGUAGCGAAGAGGAUUAGAUACCCUCGUAGUCCAUGCCGUAAACGAUGUGUGUUAGACGUUGGAAAUUUAUUUUCAGUGUCGCAGCGAAAGCGAUAAACACACCGCCUGGGGAGUACGACCGCAAGGUUAAAACUCAAAUGAAUUGACGGGGACCCGCACAAGUAGUGGAGCAUGUGGUUUAAUUCGAAGAUACGCGCAGAACCUUACCAACACUUGACAUGUUCGUCGCGACUCUAAGAGAUUAGAGUUUUCGGUUCGGCCGGACGAAACACAGGUGCUGCAUGGCUGUCGUCAGCUCGUGUCGUGAGAUGUUGGGUUAAGUCCCGCAACGAGCGCAACCCUCACUUUUAGUUGCCAUCAUUAAGUUGGGCACUCUGAAAGAACUGCCAGUGAUAAGCUGGAGGAAGGUGGGGAUGACGUCAAGUCCUCAUGGCCCUUACGUGUUGGGCUACACACGUGCUACAAUGGUAUCUACAACAGGAAGCAAGACUGCGAGGUCAAGCAAAUCCUUAAAAGAUACCUCAGUUCGGAUUGCACUCUGCAACUCGAGUGCAUGAAGCUGGAAUUACUAGUAAUCGUGGAUCAGCGUGCCACGGUGAAUGCGUUCCCGGGUCUUGUACACACCGCCCGUCACACCAUGGGAGUUGGUUCUACCUUAAGGCAAGGUUUAAUACCCUUGACCACGGUAUAGUCAGCGACUGGGGUGAAGUCGUAACAAGGUAGCCGUAGGGGAACCUGCGGCUG
rnacentral:rRNA from 1 species